rnacentral:lncRNA from 1 species
CAGAUUUGUGUGAGAGAUUGUAGCCCAGAAACUUGAAUGGUACAAUUUACAUAAAAAUUGUCAAAAAAGACUAAAUUCUGAAACAAAACUACAUAACUUCUCAGUAUUGAGUAUUCAUUAUACCUUUAUGAAAGAAGUUGUUUUUGCUUUUAGUUUUAGACUAUAAAUUACUACUAAAACCUGAUACAUUAACUCAGGAAAUUAGAUUAACCAGCAAUUGCUGAAAAGGAAAUAAAUUGAAAUAAUAAACCGAAUACAGUAUCUAGGAAAGGAAAUAAAUUGAUAUAAUAAACCGGAUACAGUAACUAGGAAAUUAGAUUUCAUAUCAUAACCUUUAACAUUGAGUUUAAUUUACGAAUAUAUUAAAAUCAACCAAACUUGAGACACAAACUCAUUCCAAAAUUGGACUUGAGCACAAGGUUCAUAGAGCAAUGCAAAACCAAAUAAUAAGUUGGUCACACAAAUAAAAUAGCAAUUGAGUCAGAGCACAUUUAAGUAAACAGGUUAAUUAAACACUUGCUUAAUAAGUUUUGUUAACCUGGUUCAAGAUAUAUGGUAAGGAUGCUACUAAGGCUUUGUUAUUCAAGUAGAAGUGUGGAACCAUAGAUACUUCUUUAUUAGAUAAGGCAUAGUGACACAGACCUAAACAUAGAAGCCCACAAAUACCAUGCUUAUUAUCUUAGACAAUUCACAAUGAAAAGGUUCAAGUGGCAUAAAAGCACACACUAACUUUUACCAACGAGGAAAACCUGCAUAGAAUAAAUGGCAAUUGAUGCCUUACUUUCUCAUGGAGAGUGUUAUAAAAACUUUCUCAUGAAGAGUGUUAUAAAGUAACUAAUACACGUGAACGAAUACCUUCACUACCUAAUAGUCUAACAAACAACACUAGCAUCAAAACAUAACAUAAAUGGCACAUUGCAAUCAUUUAAGUUGUUUCGCAAUAGAAGAACGUUACCUGCAGCAAUGCAAUAUAUAAACAACAACCGACAAUAUACACAAACUGAGCAAGAUGAUUAAUAUCUCAAAUAUGAUCUCAUUAUAAAAAAUAGAGAGACACAACUUAUGAGGAUUGUUGCAGCUUCUCUUCUACAAGUUCAACGCAACUAUGUACAUAAACUUGAGAGGGUUCUAUACAAGAAGACAUAUAAACAAUUAAAAAUCUAUGUAUAGUUAUCAUAUCACAUUCUUUUCACAUGAUGUUAAUGUCAUUUAGAAUUAUCCUGACAUUCUUCAUGCUAAAUGGCAAAUAUAUUACCAACAAUUCCAAAUUCAGAAGACAUCCAAUGUCGUUGAACCUUGUGUAAACCAUAAAUAAAUAAUGGACUUAAAAACUCACAAGUUAGGGAUUUGUAUAUAUUGUGGAAAUCAAUAGAAAACUAACAAAUACAAUUAGAGAUUUACGAUUAAUGAAUGUAGUAGAUGAAUCAAGAAACUAAGGAUUUCUUACCAAAAUUGGAGUGAAUUGAACCUCAAAAUAAGCUUCAAUUUGAGUUGGUACUGACAACCACAUUGAGCAAGAAGAUGGUGAAUGAUGUGAAGAAAACAUAGAGUGAGGCCGAUUCAAAUAAGGAGAGGAUUUAUAAAUCCUGAGAAGAAGAUAGCAUUGAACGAUGAAGGAUCGUUAUUGAACAACCAGAUAUAAGAACGUUGAGGCGGAGCUCACGAUGAUGGAAAAACUACACGGUGGCAAAGAGAAAAAGACGUUGAUGGUGGAAGAAGCGUGUGAGAGAGCGAGCAGUGAAAUGAGAGAGAG